UGGUUCUUUUAAGUAAAGGAUAUUAAAAUAAAAGAUAUUUAAAAAAAAAAUAAAAUAAAUAAAUAAAAACAUUUCUUGUACUUUUCUAUGUACUUCUUGUACUUUUUUUUUUUUUUUGUAUUUUGUACUUUUCUAUAGAUGGCGCUGGUAAUAUUUUUUGCAAAACUUAGAGAGCCCUUCUUUCUCAACAGAGAAAAAGGGGACCAUGUCUUUCAUUACAUGAAAUGCCACCGCAACUGAGAAGUCAACUUGGGGUAUUCUUCUCAAAUCCGGGUUCCUUCCCCAGUUACGGAAUGACGUCGAAUCAACAUGGCUGCGCUCAGCAUCAGAAACAAAGAAAGUAAAACUUCUUACCUUUAAAGGAAGGUUUCUUUUUGGGGUGCAGAGAACAUGUAAUCUCUAAGGAUGGACAAAGGAUAGAAGUUACUAUAAGUAACUCCUGGAAUAGAACACACCUGUCUGAAUGAGCCACUGGAUGUGAGGAGAGCAUAGAUCAUCCAAAGAGGAACCAACAGAGUUGAAGAGAGUGUGAACCACCAGCCAAUAGCAUAGCCCC